rnacentral:tRNA from 1 species
GACUGGUUAGCUCAGUCGGUUAGAGCAUGGUGCUGAUAGCACCAAGGUCGCGGGUUCGAUCCCCGUUCGGUCC